UUUCAUUCACAAUUUAUACACUGAAUUGAGCAAUUGAGGAUAGUCAGACUCGAAUUUUGUGGUAUAGAUAUCACCAAGUUAUUUGAGAUAUUUAUAUUGGAUUUCAACCAACAUUCGCCAUUCUAGUGGGAAAAUCAAUACGUGAAAAUAUUUGGUCAAGUUUCCAGUGUUAUUAUAGUUUACUCAAGUUGUUUCUUAUAGGUUAUUUUUGAUUUUGAGAAAUUAUGGCAGACGGCGAUUAUACGGCUGGAAUUGUGUAUGAGAUGCCUACGCAGAACUAUGUAUCUUACAAUUUUGAAAAAUCUGCUUUAGAAUUGGGGCGAAUAGUUUGGCCAAAUUAUGAUGAUCAACAUUAUUUAAAGGGUUGUUAUUGGUCACCUGAUGGAACUUGCCUUUUGACUGUUGUGAGGGGUGCAGGCAUGCAUAUUUGUGAAUUACCAAAUGAUUUAUACUCUGCAGAUGUAUUGAUGACUAGUAGACAGGUUAAUCCUCUAACACCAGCCGUUAGUGUUCCAGAACAAGGUCUUAUAUAUGAUGUCUGCUGGUAUCCUGGAAUGAAUAGUUCCAUGCCUGCUACCUGCUGUUGGUUGUCAAGUGGACAUGAGGGUCCUGUCCAUUUAUGGGAUGCUUUCACAGGAACACUCAGGUGUUCCUAUAGGGGUUAUAAUGCAGUUGAUGAGAUAGAUCCAGCAUUAAGUGUAUGUUUUUCUGCCGAUGGACAAAGUAUAUUCUGUGGAUCUAAAAAAUCAGUUAAAACAUUUGCAACAAGUAGACCCGGAAGGGAGUAUUAUGCAUAUGAGGUUUCACAUCCUGCUUCUUGCAUCGUGGCAAGUGAAGCACAGCCUGGAGUUGUAGCGAUAGGUUCCUGGAAAAAUACAAUAGAAUUAGUUUCUCAAAGUGAUGGCACUUUUAGACACCUUUGCAAAUUACAAGGUCACAAAGGUGGUAUUACGUCAAUGGCAUUUUCCUUAGAUGGAUACAAAUUAUUCAGUGGAGCAAGAAAGGAUAAAGAAAUAAUUUGUUGGGAUCUGAGGGUACCAGGACGCCCCCUAUUUUGCCUUGGGAGAGAAGUUAAUACAAACCAAAAAAUUGCUAUCGAUUUAUCAAGAUGUGGAAGAUAUUUGGUAUCUGGAGGCACAGAUGGUAAAGUUUUAGCAUGGGAUAUUUCACUAAAUUGUGCCCCACAAGAAAAUUAUCAGGUUAUAAUGAUGCACUUACAGUUAGCCACAAAUUUAGGUGUAACAUAGGUGACACGUAAGUUGACGACGCAAUUAGCGAUAAAAAUAUUUAUAAAUCACUUUCUGCAGCACAACAACAAUAUGUCCAUUAGAGAGAGAGUGAAUAUAAACUGUUUAGCAAUAGUUAUUACAAUAUUGGAUCAGCUACUACCAGGGUGUCUGUUAAGAUAUCAUAAGAAUUCGGUGUUACAAUCAUCCGAAUUAUACAACUCUAGCUUUCCUUUGAAAAGUGGGACGACUCUUGAUUAUUUUGCCACUUCAUUUUUAUUAAAAAAAGUGUUACUUGUGAAAAGGUGAUAGGCCGCAUAAAGAUAAAUAUGAAUUUCACAAAACUAUUAACUGGUACAUGUUUUCAAAAUUAUCAUGCAGAAAAUUAGAUAGCGAUAACCUCAAUGAUUGUAGUAGCUAAAAAUAUCUAAUAUAACAACAUUAUUAUUGAAAUAUACUAAAUUCAUUUGGGUAAAAUCUCAUUCAAAUUUUACAUAUUUUGGUGAUUCUUCAAAUAAAAGCAUAUUUCAAUGCUAUACUUUGUUGAUAAUUGAUUCAAAUUAUCAUUCUUUACCUUAUGAGACCUACUGCAUUUCACAAGUGAUAAUUGCAAACGAAAUUGUAAAAACCGAGA